UUCCUGCCUUGAGCUCCUGUCCAGCUUCCCUCAAUGAGAGACAGUGACGUGGAAAGCAUUGUGCCAACACCAACGCCAUCCUCCCAUCCAUCCCUACUGGGACAGAUCAGCCUCCCAUUGUUCUCCCUUGCUCAAGUGCUUCAGCACAGCCCAAAUGGGUACCAUUGACAACAGAGAGAAGUGAGAAGCCAGACAAUGAAGCCAGUCCCUACCCACGCGCUGCCAGACAUUGGAAAAAAGAACAAAACUAAAGGAACGCCAUUGAAAAAACAUAAUGGCCUUGUCUUCUACCUUUCUUGUGGCACAAAGCCCAACUGGUUAUCCCUCCUCCCCACCCCCACCUCACUCUGUCUACUUCAAGAGCAUUCCUGCUUCAAGUCUCCUGCCCACUUCCUCACAAGAGCAAGGCACAAA